rnacentral:rRNA from 1 species
CCUACGGGGGGCAGCAGUGGGGAAUAUUGGACAAUGGGCGAAAGCCUGAUCCAGCCAUGCCGCGUGUGUGAAGAAGGCCUUCGGGUUGUAAAGCACUUUCAGUGGGGAAGAAAGCCUUGGGGCUAAUACCCUCGAGGAAGGACAUCACCCACAGAAGAAGCACCGGCUAACUCCGUGCCAGCAGCCGCGGUAAUACGGAGGGUGCGAGCGUUAAUCGGAAUUACUGGGCGUAAAGCGCGCGUAGGCGGUCUGAUAAGCCGGUUGUGAAAGCCCCGGGCUCAACCUGGGAACGGCAUCCGGAACUGUCAGGCUAGAGUGCAGGAGAGGAAGGUAGAAUUCCCGGUGUAGCGGUGAAAUGCGUAGGGAUCGGGAGGAAUACCAGUGGCGAAGGCGGCCUUCUGGACUGACACUGACGCUGAGGUGCGAAAGCGUGGGUAGCAAACAGGAUUAGAUACCCCAGUAGUC